GUGGGGAAUCUUGCGCAAUGGGCGAAAGCCUGACGCAGCCAUGCCGCGUGAAUGAUGAAGGUCUUAGGAUUGUAAAAUUCUUUCACCGGGGACGAUAAUGACGGUACCCGGAGAAGAAGCUCCGGCUAACUUCGUGCCAGCAGCCCCGGUAAUACGAAGGGGGCUAGCGUUGCUCGGAAUUACUGGGCGUAAAGGGCGCGUAGGCGGACAGCUUAGUCAGAGGUGAAAGCCCAGGGCUCAACCUUGGAAUUGCCUUUGAUACUGGCUGUCUUGAGUUUGGGAGAGGUGAGUGGAACUCCGAGUGUAGAGGUGAAAUUCGUAGAUAUUCGGAAGAACACCAGUGGCGAAGGCGACUCACUGGCCCAAUACUGACGCUGAGGCGCGAAAGCGUGGGGAGCAAACAGGAUUAGAAACCCUUGUAGUCC
rnacentral:rRNA from 1 species